GGGGGCGACUGGAUUCGACAUGAUAGUCCUGAGAAGGGAAGCAUGCGGUGGUCUCCUCGCCACCUUAAACAGGGGUACCGUCAAAUUUAAUUGACAGAAAUCGUUUUGCACUCGCCGCCUGAUUAGGCCGCGACGUCAACUUGGGAUACAUCCCCGCUCCCAACGCGACGCCACUUAGGGGAAUGCUCCUGCGCACGUAGUCGGUAUGGCGUAGGAAAAGAUUGAACCGGCUGGCAAUGGGCUCGUUUGUCAGUGUGCCUGCCCGGCGCGAGACCUGAACACCGACUGAGCAUGGAGAUGCCUUUCAAGGGGUUGUUAUGGACCGGAGUUCGAUUCUCCGCGCCUCCACCA
rnacentral:tmRNA from 1 species